GCACCCGUAUCUCAACUGGAUAGAGAAGCGGCCUACGAAGCCGAAGGUUGAAAGUUCAAAUCUUUCCGGGUGUACCA
rnacentral:tRNA from 1 species